GGCUCGCAGGCGGUUUCUUAAGUCUGAUGUGAAAGCCCCCGGCUCAACCGGGGAGGGUCAUUGGAAACUGGGAAACUUGAGUGCAGAAGAGGAGAGUGGAAUUCCACGUGUAGCGGUGAAAUGCGUAGAGAUGUGGAGGAACACCAGUGGCGAAGGCGACUCUCUGGUCUGUAACUGACGCUGAGGAGCGAAAGCGUGGGGAGCGAACAGGAUUAGAUACCCUGGUAGUCCACGCCGUAAACGAUGAGUGCUAAGUGUUAGGGGGUUUCCGCCCCUUAGUGCUGCAGCUAACGCAUUAAGCACUCCGCCUGGGGAGUACGGUCGCAAGACUGAAACUCAAAGGAAUUGACGGGGGCCCGCACAAGCGGUGGAGCAUGUGGUUUAAUUCGAAGCAACGCGAAGAACCUUACCAGGUCUUGACAUCCUCUGACAACCCUAGAGAUAGGGCUUUCCCUUCGGGGACAGAGUGACAGGUGGUGCAUGGUUGUCG
rnacentral:rRNA from 2 species